GUCCCAGAUAAAGUUCCUUGUAUUUAUCUGAUUCAUGGAAAGCAAAUAUUGACAAUGGAAGUUUCGCUGAUAGCAUCCUUUUAAACCUUGCAGGAGGUGUUUUACUAGUAACUUUCCAAACAUUU